AAGCCGAUGAUGAUUUAAUUAUAAAAUGUUGGAAUUACCGACUGAUUAUUCAUUGAUGAUAACUAGGCUGCCUGAGGCUUCUU